UGGAAUGUAGCUCAAUGGUAGAGCCCUUGUCUAUCAUGCAGGAGGUCUUGGAUUCAAUCUCAAAUACAACAA
rnacentral:tRNA from 1 species